rnacentral:lncRNA from 1 species
AGUUUUCUUUUCCUAUGUGUCAGCAUCUGAAAGGUAGAAUACUUAAUAGAUUUUGAUAUGUAGAAUCUGUCAAUAGACAACUAAAAAUCCAUUUGUUUUAUAUUACAUUAGAAAUUUAACCCAAUUUAACUCCCUUCUUGGGCCAACAAUCCUUUCACUAGGGAUCAUAUCCAGUGAAAAACCAACUAAAAACUAACUUAAAGCUAUAUAAAAAAAACAUUCGGAUAAGAGAUCACUAUACAUAGUUGAUGUCGUAUUACAAUUCCACGAAUAAUUUGAAGACCAAAAUCAAUCCCUAUGAGCGGGUUGAAAAUUCAUUGUAUCUAAAAUUCAGCACUUCAGAUGAACGCUCACUCUCAC